ACGAACGCUGGCGGCAGGCCUAACACAUGCAAGUCGAGCGGCCCUUCGGGGCAGCGGCGGACGGGUGAGUAACGCGUGGGAACGUGCCCUUUGGUACGGAACAACUGAGGAAAACUUCAGCUAAUACCGUAUGUGCCCUACGGGGGAAAGAUUUAUCGCCAUUGGAGCGGCCCGCGUUAGAUUAGCUAGUUGGUAGGGUAAUGGCCUACCAAGGCGACGAUCUAUAGCUGGUCUGAGAGGAUGAUCAGCCACACUGGGACUGAGACACGGCCCAGACUCCUACGGGAGGCAGCAGUGGGGAAUCUUGCGCAAUGGGCGAAAGCCUGGCGCAGCCAUGCCGCGUGAACGAUGAAGGUCUUAGGAUUGUAAAAUUCUUUCACCGGGGACGAUAAUGACGGUACCCGGAGAAGAAGCCCCGGCUAACUUCGUGCCAGCCGCCGCCGUAAUAC
rnacentral:rRNA from 1 species